rnacentral:rRNA from 1 species
UACGGAGGGUGCAAGCGUUAAUCGGAAUUACUGGGCGUAAAGCGUGCGUAGGUGGUUCGUUAAGUCCGUUGUGAAAGCCCCGAGCUCAACUUGGGAAUUGCAGUGGAUACUGGCGAGCUGGAGUGCGGUAGAGGAAGGUGGAAUUCCCGGUGUAGCGGUGAAAUGCGUAGAGAUCGGGAGGAACACCAGUGGCGAAGGCGGCCUUAUGGACCAGCACUGACACUCAAGCACGAAAGCGUGGGGAGCAAACAGG